rnacentral:rRNA from 1 species
CGUUUUCCCGGCGGAUCUACCCUGCCUAAGUUGCUUGGAACAGCACAUCAGAGAGGGUGACAAUCCCGUUUGUGGCAGGGCAGACCGUCCAUGAUACGCUUUCCAUGAGUCGGGUUGCUUGGGAAUGCAGCCCAAAAUUGGUGGUAAACUCCAUCUAAAGCUAAAUAUUGGCACGAGACCGAUAGCGAACAAGUACCGUGAGGGAAAGAUGAAAAGAACUUUGAAAAGAGAGUUAAAAAGUGCGUGAAACCGUUAGAGGGGAAGCGGAUGCAGUUAGCAAUGCUUCUGCGAGAUUCAGGCGGUCGCUCGGCCAGACGUGUAGUUGGUGGAUCUGAAUGGACUGUCGCUACACGGCCGGGACUUGUGCCCGUCGCACUUCUCGCUGGAGCGCGUCAACAGCUGCUGAGCCUGGUCGACACGGUCGCGUGGAAGGUGAGCAUCCAGCUUGCUGGCUGUUGUUAUAUCCACUCGUGCCUAGAUCGGGCUUGGCAGAGGUGAGCGGUGCAUGCUCUCUCUCGAGAGGGCUGGCGUCCUGUUCCGUUCACGUAGCUGGCUCGGAUGCACUGCGUGCAGUACGUUCUUGCCGGUGAAAUGGCGUGCAGUCAACGCACACGAUGCACCAUGGUUGUUGGCGGCCAUAUGGCUUUAUCCGACCCGUCUUGAAACACGGACCAAGGAGUCUAACAUGUGCGCAAGUCUUGGGGUGACCGAAACCCAGAGGCGCAAUGAAAGUGAAGGCCGCUUUUGUGGCUGAGGUGAGAUCCUUGCUCUACGCGGGUGAGGCGCAUCAUCGACCGACCUAUUCUACUCUUAGGAAGGUUUGAGUAAGAGCGUACAUGUUGGGACCCGAAAGAUGGUGAACUAUGCCUGAGUAGGGUGAAGCCAGAGGAAACUCUGGUGGAAGCUCGUAGCGAUUCUGACGUGCAAAUCGAUCGUCGAACU